rnacentral:rRNA from 1 species
UACGGCUCAGUAACACGUCGAUAAUCUGCCCUUAAGUCUGGGAUAACCUUGGGAAACUGAGGCUAAGACCGGAUAAUAAAACAAAUCUGGAAGGAUUGUUUUCUUAAAGGUAACGCUUAAGGAUGAGUCGGCGGCGGAUUAGGCUGUUGGCGAGGUAAAGGCUCACCAAACCGAAGAUCCGUAGGGGCUCUGAGAGGAGUAGCCCCGAGAAGGGCACUGAGACACUGGCCCUAGCCCUACGGGGUGCAGCAGGCGCGAAAACUUUGCAAUGCACGAAAGUGUGACAAGGGAACCCAGAGUGCUUAUACAACGUAUAGGCUUUUGCCAAGAGCAAAUAUCUUGGAGAAUAAGUGGUGGGAAAGACUGGUGCCAGCAGCCGCGGUAAU